AUAAGCAAAAAAAAGCUUCUCCAACCUAGCUUUUGGCUUAAUAGUGUUAGAGUGGCUUAUGGCUUCAAAAAAGACAAACGGAAAAGCUGCCUGUUUGUUUAGGCUUAGACUUUUCGACUUAUAAGUUGUCUUAUAAGCCUAGCCGAUGGUCCUCUCCUCCCCCUUUUUUGUGAACUGCCAGCAGGUGACCUAUGAUAAAGAGAGGUCGAUGCAUCAUGUCCUGUUUGCAUCUCCAUGACUCCAUGCGUAUGUACAGUUUCUGCUUCAAUGCUGCAACAGAUAAUGAUGGAAGAGGUGAUCUCAACGGUAACUGAUCGAGUGAGCUCGCGCUGCACUGCAACUGAAAGCCUGGGGAUUGUUACUGAUUGGCGAUGGACCUGGAGACAGAGACAGUGACAUUCGCGUGCAACGUACUACUCCUGCUUAACCUCUGGAGUAGGGCAUCAUCAAGCAUUAAUCGCCUCCUUUCCAACACGUACAAUUACCCCCUUGGAAAUCAAUCAGCUGGGGCAUUCAGAUGGAUAAAAUCAAGAAUUGUUUGGCUGAGGAAUUUCACGAAGAACACCAAAUGUUUGUUUGGAUUAGGAGAAGUACAGUACUACGCACUAUGGAGACUUUGGACAGGAAAACAAGGUUCGCCUUGGAAUGGACGGCACUACGGUCUACGACAAAUCUGGCGUGGCACCAUCUCCGAUCAGCCAUUUCUGAAUUCAAAAAACACAUAGCCAUAUGUCCGGGUGUUUUUAAGGUUGUGUUUGGUUCACACUGAAGUUUGAAAGUUUGGUUAAAAUUGGUACGA